rnacentral:rRNA from 1 species
UACGUAGGGGGCAAGCGUUGUCCGGAUUUAUUGGGCGUAAAGAGCGUGUAGGCGGCCGAAUAAGUCUGACGUGAAAUCUGGAGGCUCAACCUCCAGCUGUCGUUGGAAACUAUUCGGCUAGAGUCCGGAAGGGGAGAGUGGAAUUCCCGGUGUAGCGGUGAAAUGCGCAGAUAUCGGGAAGAACACCCAUGGCGAAGGCAGCUCUCUGGGACGGUACUGACGCUGAGACGCGAAAGCGUGGGGAGCGAACAGGAUUAGAAACCCGUGUAGU